AAAAAUGAAAUUGUAAAUAAAGUGAAUAUAGUAUUUAUACUGAAGGUAAAAAGUCACAGUCUCGUAAGUCUUCUCUUUCUCUCUCUCUCUAUCUAUCUCUCUUUCUCCAGGAGGAUGAGCUAGGGUUUGUGUUCGUCCCCAAAAUCUAGGGUUUCGAACAAUCAUUUUCGCUACGUCUGGAACAAUCUGGCACAAUGUGCGUGGAUUUCGGAUUCCGCCAUUGAAAUAGCUGCGAAAUCUGUUUGCAUUUUGAUCUUAAGGAAAAGAACCCUAGCGGUGAUGGCGAAGACGAGGCCUGGGAAAAGAGACUUGGAUUCGUACACCAUCAAAGGCACCAACAAGGUGGUGAGAGCUGGUGAUUGCGUGUUGAUGCGGCCAUCGGACACCGAUAAGCCAUCUUACGUAGCGCGUGUGGAGAAGAUUGAGGCCGAUAAUCGGAACAACGUGAAGGUUCGGGUGCGGUGGUAUUAUCGGCCGGAGGAGUCGAUUGGUGGGCGGAGGCAGUUCCAUGGAGCAAAGGAGUUGUUUUUGUCGGACCAUUAUGAUGUGCAGAGUGCUCAUACUAUUGAAGGGAAGUGCACUGUUCACUCCUUCAAGAACUAUACUAAGCUUGAAAAUGUUGGGGCUGAGGAUUACUAUUGUCGGUUCGAGUAUAAGGCAGCUACUGGGGGUUUCACGCCGGACCGAGUUGCUGUGUAUUGCAAAUGCGAGAUGCCUUAUAACCCAGAUGAUCUUAUGGUCCAGUGCGAGGGGUGCAAGGACUGGUAUCAUCCUGUUUGUGUUGAAAUGACUAUUGAAGCAGCAAAAAAACUAGAUCACUUUCUGUGUUCUGAUUGUUCUGAUGAUGAGGCCAAAAGAUCCCAGAAUGCAUUUCCUACAUCGCCGACAGCUGACACCAAGGUUAAGGAAAAUAAAAUAUAGAUAGAGGGAGCCCAAGAAGGGGGCCACCUCCCAAAUACAUGGGAGCUAUACAAGUACUUCUGAGAAGAGGUGGAGCCAAAGCGUAGGAAGAGAUGAGCACAUCCAGAGGCCAGGAGUUGUGGUGCAAGGCUUGACUCUUACACAUUUAGCUCUUGCAUUGUUGUUGUGUGAGUUGUACAGUGCAGAGAACCAUGCUGUGCUUUGCUCAGACUGGAGGCUUCUAGUAAUUUAUGUCUUUUGUCUCUGGAGAUAUGUAUGCAAUGCUAGAUUUAGGAUAUUACUUUGUAAUAUACAUUCUGUGCAGAAAGAUGAUUCAGAUUUAAGGCGACUUCUCUAAGAACACUCUGAACCCAAAGGUUUGUGGUAAAAAAAACCAUGGAUUCCCAGUUUUUGGUA